rnacentral:tRNA from 1 species
GGGCUCAUAGCUCAGGCUGGUAGAGCACUUGGCUUUUAACCAAGGGGUCGGGGGUUCAAAUCCCUCUGGGCCCA